rnacentral:rRNA from 1 species
ACGAACGCUGGCGGCGUGCUUAACACAUGCAAGUCGAACGGAAAGGCCCUGCUUUUGUGGGGUGCUCGAGUGGCGAACGGGUGAGUAACACGUGAGUAACCUGCCCUUGACUUUGGGAUAACUUCAGGAAACUGGGGCUAAUACCGGAUAGGAGCUCCUGCUGCAUGGUGGGGGUUGGAAAGUUUCGACGGUUGGGGAUGGACUCGCGGCUUAUCAGCUUGUUGGUGGGGUAGUGGCUUACCAAGGCUUUGACGGGUAGCCGGCCUGAGAGGGUGACCGGCCACAUUGGGACUGAGAUACGGCCCAGACUCCUACGGGAGGCAGCAGUGGGGAAUAUUGCACAAUGGGCGGAAGCCUGAUGCAGCAACGCCGCGUGCGGGAUGACGGCCUUCGGGUUGUAAACCGCUUUCGCCUGUGACGAAGCGUGAGUGACGGUAAUGGGUAAAGAAGCACCGGCUAACUACGUG